rnacentral:rRNA from 1 species
GUCCACGCUGUAAACGAUGGGCACUAGGUGUUCGGGGUAUUGACCCCCUGAGUGCCGCAGCUAACGCAUUAAGUGCCCCGCCUGGGGACUACGGCCGCAAGGUUAAAACUCAAAGGAAUUGACGGGGGCCCGCACAAGCGGUGGAGCAUGUGGUUCAAUUCGACGCAACGCGAAGAACCUUACCUGGGCUAGACAACAUCGGACCGCCCCCGAAAAUGGGGUCUUCCCGCAAGGGACCGGUGGUUCAGGUGCUGCAUGGCUGUCGU